CCUACGGGGGGCAGCAGUGAGGAAUAUUGGUCAAUGGGCGAGAGCCUGAACCAGCCAAGUCGCGUGAGGGAGUACUGCCCUAUGGGUUGUAAACCUCUUUUGUCGGGGAGCAAAAGCCGGACGUGUCCGGCUGUGAGAGUACCCGAAGAAAAAGCAUCGGCUAACUCCGUUCCAGCAGCCGCGGUAAUACGGGGGAUGCGAGCGUUAUCCGGAUUUAUUGGGUUUAAAGGGUGCGGAGGCGGGUUAUAAAGUGAGCGGUAAACUCGGGGAGCUAAAAUCCAUCCAGACGUUGAAACUGAUGAUCUUGAGUGGGCGAGAAGUAGGCGGAAUGCGUGGUGUAGCGGUGAAAUGCAUAGAUAUCACGCAGAACUCCGAUUGCGAAGGCAGCAUACCGGCGCCCGACUGACGCUGAAGCACGAAAGCGUGGGUAUCGAACAGGAUUAGAUACCCUUGUAGUC
rnacentral:rRNA from 1 species